UCAACGCUGGCGGCGUGCCUAAUACAUGCAAGUCGAGCGAACAGACGAGGAGCUUGCUCCUCUGACGUUAGCGGCGGACGGGUGAGUAACACGUGGAUAACCUACCUAUAAGACUGGGAUAACUUCGGGAAACCGGAGCUAAUACCGGAUAAUAUAUUGAACCGCAUGGUUCAAUAGUGAAAGACGGUUUUGCUGUCACUUAUAGAUGGAUCCGCGCCGCAUUAGCUAGUUGGUAAGGUAACGGCUUACCAAGGCAACGAUGCGUAGCCGACCUGAGAGGGUGAUCGGCCACACUGGAACUGAGACACGGUCCAGACUCCUACGGGAGGCAGCAGUAGGGAAUCUUCCGCAAUGGGCGAAAGCCUGACGGAGCAACGCCGCGUGAGUGAUGAAGGUCUUCGGAUCGUAAAACUCUGUUAUUAGGGAAGAACAAAUGUGUAAGUAACUAUGCACGUCUUGACGGUACCCAAUCAGAAAGCCACGGCUAACUACGUG
rnacentral:rRNA from 1 species